GAUGAAGAACGCAGUGAAAUGCGAUAAGUAAUGUGAAUUGCAGAACUCAGUGAAUCAUCGAGUCUUUGAACGCACAUUGCGCCCCCUGGUAUUCCGGGGGGCAUGCCUGUCCGAGCGUCAUUGCUGCCCUCAAGCACGGCUUGUGUGUUGGGCCUCCGUCCUCCUCCCGGGGGACGGGCCCGAAAGGCAGCGGCGGCACCGCGUCCGGUCCUCGAGCGUAUGGGGCUUCGUCACCCGCUCUUGUAGGCCCGGCCGGCGCUUGCCGACACAUCAAUCUUUUUUCCAGGUUGACCUCGGAUCAGGUAGGGAUACCCGCUGAACUUAAGCAUAUCAAUAAGCGGAGGA
rnacentral:misc_RNA from 1 species